AGAGUUUGAUCCUGGCUCAGAUUGUACGCUGGCGGCAUGCCUUACACAUGCAAGUCGAACGGCAGCACGAGAGCUUGCUCUUGGUGGCGAGUGGCGAACGGGUGAGUAAUAUAUCGGAACGUACCCUAGAGUGGGGGAUAACGCAGCGAAAGUUGCGCUAAUACCGCAUACGAUCUACGGAUGAAAGUGGGGGAUCGCAAGACCUCAUGCUCAUGGAGCGGCCGAUAUCUGACUAGCUAGUUGGUAGGGUAAAAGCCUACCAAGGCUUCGAUCAGUAGCUGGUCUGAGAGGACGACCAGCCACACUGGAACUGAGACACGGUCCAGACUCCUACGGGAGGCAGCAGUGGGGAAUUUUGGACAAUGGGCGCAAGCCUGAUCCAGCAAUGCCGCGUGAGUGAAGAAGGCCUUCGGGUUGUAAAGCUCUUUUGUCAGGGAAGAAACGGUGGACUCUAAUACAGAUCACUAAUGACGGUACCUGAAGAAUAAGCACCGGCUAACUACGUGCCAGCAGCCGCGGUAAUACGUAGGGUGCAAGCGUUAAUCGGAAUUACUGGGCGUAAAGCGUGCGCAGGCGGUUGUGCAAGACAGAUGUGAAAUCCCCGGGCUCAACCUGGGAAUUGCAUUUGUGACUGCACGGCUAGAGUGUGUCAGAGGGGGGUAGAAUUCCACGUGUAGCAGUGAAUGCGUAGGGAUGUGGAGGAAUACCGAUGGCGAAGGCAGCCCCCUGGGAUAACACUGACGCUCAUGCACGAAAGCGUGGGGAGCAAACAGGAUUAGAUACCCUGGUAGUCCACGCCCUAAACGAUGUCUACUAGUUGUUGGGUCUUAAUUGACUUAGUAACGCAGCUAACGCGUGAAGUAGACCGCCUGGGGAGUACGGUCGCAAGAUUAAAACUCAAAGGAAUUGACGGGGACCCGCACAAGCGGUGGAUGAUGUGGAUUAAUUCGAUGCAACGCGAAAAACCUUACCUACCCUUGACAUGUACGGAAUCCCUGAGAGAUUAGGGAGUGCUCGAAAGAGAACCGUAACACAGGUGCUGCAUGGCUGUCGUCAGCUCGUGUCGUGAGAUGUUGGGUUAAGUCCCGCAACGAGCGCAACCCUUGUCAUUAGUUGCUACGAAAGGGCACUCUAAUGAGACUGCCGGUGACAAACCGGAGGAAGGUGGGGAUGACGUCAAGUCCUCAUGGCCCUUAUGGGUAGGGCUUCACACGUCAUACAAUGGUACAUACAGAGGGCCGCCAACCCGCGAGGGGGAGCUAAUCCCAGAAAGUGUAUCGUAGUCCGGAUUGUAGUCUGCAACUCGACUACAUGAAGUUGGAAUCGCUAGUAAUCGCGGAUCGGCAUGUCGCGGUGAAUACGUUCCCGGGUCUUGUACACACCGCCCGUCACACCAUGGGAGCGGGUUUCACCAGAAGUAGGUAGCCUAACCGUAAGGAGGGCGCUUACCACGGUGGGAUUCGUGACUGGGGUGAAGUCGUAACAAGGUA
rnacentral:rRNA from 1 species